rnacentral:rRNA from 1 species
GACGAACCAUGCAAACGUUAUUCGGAUUCACUGGGCUUAAAGCGUGCGUAGGCGGCGGUGUUAGUCAGGUGUGAAAGCCCUCAGCCCAACUGAGGAAUUGCGCUUGAUACUGCAUUGCUAGAGAAUGAUAGAGGUGGGUGGAACUGAUGGUGGAGCGGUGAAAUGCGUUGAUAUCAUCAGGAACACCAGUGGCGAAGGCGACCCACUGGGUCAUUUCUGACGCUGAGGUACGAAAGCUAGGGUAGCGAACGGG